rnacentral:rRNA from 1 species
AUUGAACGCUGGCGGCAGGCCUAACACAUGCAAGUCGAGCGGAUGAAGGGAGCUUGCUCCUGGAUUCAGCGGCGGACGGGUGAGUAAUGCCUAGGAAUCUGCCUGGUAGUGGGGGAUAACGUCCGGAAACGGGCGCUAAUACCGCAUACGUCCUGAGGGAGAAAGUGGGGGAUCUUCGGACCUCACGCUAUCAGAUGAGCCUAGGUCGGAUUAGCUAGUUGGUGGGGUAAAGGCCUACCAAGGCGACGAUACGUAACUGGUCUGAGAGGAUGAUCAGUCACACUGGAACUGAGACACGGUCCAGACUCCUACGGGAGGCAGCAGUGGGGAAUAUUAGACAAUGGGCGAAAGCCUUAUCCAGCCAUGCCGCGUGUGUGACGAAGGUCUUCGGAUUGUAAAGCACUUUAAGUUGGGAGGAAGGGCAGUAAGUUAAUACCUUGCUGUUUUGACGUUACCAACAGAAUAAGCACCGGCUAACUUCGUG